CACUAUCGUUAACUGAAUACAUAGGUUAACGAGGCGAACCGGGGGAACUGAAACAUCUAAGUACCCCGAGGAAAAGAAAUCAACCGAGAUUCCCCCAGUAGCGGCGAGCGAACGGGGAGCAGCCCAGAGUCUGAAUCAGCUUGUGUGUUAGUGGAACGGUCUGGAAAGUCCGACGGUACAGGGUGAUAGUCCCGUACACCAAAAUGCACAGGCUGUGAACUCGAAGAGUAGGGCGGGACACGUGGUAUCCUGUCUGAAUAUGGGGGGACCAUCCUCCAAGGCUAAAUACUCCUGACUGACCGAUAGUGAACCAGUACCGUGAGGGAAAGGCGAAAAGAACCCCGGCGAGGGGAGUGAAAAAGAACCUGAAACCGUGUACGUACAAGCAGUGGGAGCACCUUCGGGUGUGACUGCGUACCUUUUGUAUAAUGGGUCAGCGACUUAUAUUCUGUAGCAAGGUUAACCGUAUAGGGGAGCCGCAGGGAAACCGAGUCUUAACUGGGCGUUAAGUUGCAGGGUAUAGACCCGAAACCCGGUGAUCUAGCCAUGGGCAGGUUGAAGGUUGGGUAACACUAACUGGAGGACCGAACCGACUAAUGUUGAAAAAUUAGCGGAUGACUUGUGGCUGGGGGUGAAAGGCCAAUCAAACCGGGAGAUAGCUGGUUCUCCCCGAAAGCUAUUUAGGUAGCGCCUCGUGAACUCAUCUUCGGGGGUAGAGCACUGUUUCGGCUAGGGGGUCAUCCCGACUUACCAACCCGAUGCAAACUACGAAUACCGAAGAAUGUUAUCACGGGAGACACACGGCGGGUGCUAACGUCCGUCGUGAAGAGGGAAACAACCCAGACCGCCAGCUAAGGUCCCAAAGUCAUGGUUAAGUGGGAAACGAUGUGGGAAGGCACAGACAGCCAGGAUGUUGGCUUAGAAGCAGCCAUCAUUUAAAGAAAGCGUAAUAGCUCACUGGUCGAGUCGGCCUGCGCGGAAGAUGUAACGGGGCUAAACCAUGCACCGAAGCUGCGGCAGCGACACUAUGUGUUGUUGGGUAGGGGAGCGUUCUGUAAGCCUGCGAAGGUGACCUGUGAGGGUUGCUGGAGGUAUCAGAAGUGCGAAUGCUGACAUAAGUAACGAUAAAGCGGGUGAAAAGCCCGCUCGCCGGAAGACCAAGGGUUCCUGUCCAACGUUAAUCGGGGCAGGGUGAGUCGACCCCUAAGGCGAGGCCGAAAGGCGUAGUCGAUGGGAAACAGGUUAAUAUUCCUGUACUUGGUGUUACUGCGAAGGGGGGACGGAGAAGGCUAUGUUAGCCGGGCGACGGUUGUCCCGGUUUAAGCAUGUAGGCUGGUUGUCCAGGCAAAUCCGGAUAAUCAAGGCUGAGGUGUGAUGACGAGGCACUACGGUGCUGAAGUAACAAAUGCCCUGCUUCCAGGAAAAGCCUCUAAGCAUCAGGUAACAUCAAAUCGUACCCCAAACCGACACAGGUGGUCAGGUAGAGAAUACCAAGGCGCUUGAGAGAACUCGGGUGAAGGAACUAGGCAAAAUGGUGCCGUAACUUCGGGAGAAGGCACGCUGGUGUGUAGGUGAAGUCCCUGCGGAUGGAGCUGAGACCAGUCGAAGAUACCAGCUGGCUGCAACUGUUUAUUAAAAACACAGCACUGUGCAAACACGAAAGUGGACGUAUACGGUGUGACGCCUGCCCGGUGCCGGAAGGUUAAUUGAUGGGGUUAUCCGUAAGGAGAAGCUCUUGAUCGAAGCCCCGGUAAACGGCGGCCGUAACUAUAACGGUCCUAAGGUAGCGAAAUUCCUUGUCGGGUAAGUUCCGACCUGCACGAAUGGCGUAAUGAUGGCCAGGCUGUCUCCACCCGAGACUCAGUGAAAUUGAACUCGCUGUGAAGAUGCAGUGUACCCGCGGCAAGACGGAAAGACCCCGUGAACCUUUACUAUAGCUUGACACUGAACAUUGAGCCUUGAUGUGUAGGAUAGGUGGGAGGCUUUGAAGCGUGGACGCCAGUCUGCGUGGAGCCAACCUUGAAAUACCACCCUUUAAUGUUUGAUGUUCUAACGUUGGCCCCUUACCGGGGUUGCGGACAGUGUCUGGUGGGUAGUUUGACUGGGGCGGUCUCCUCCCAAAGCGUAACGGAGGAGCACGAAGGUUAGCUAAUCCUGGUCGGACAUCAGGAGGUUAGUGCAAUGGCAUAAGCUAGCUUGACUGCGAGCGUGACGGCGCGAGCAGGUGCGAAAGCAGGUCAUAGUGAUCCGGUGGUUCUGAAUGGAAGGGCCAUCGCUCAACGGAUAAAAGGUACUCCGGGGAUAACAGGCUGAUACCGCCCAAGAGUUCAUAUCGACGGCGGUGUUUGGCACCUCGAUGUCGGCUCAUCACAUCCUGGGGCUGAAGUAGGUCCCAAGGGUAUGGCUGUUCGCCAUUUAAAGUGGUACGCGAGCUGGGUUUAGAACGUCGUGAGACAGUUCGGUCCCUAUCUGCCGUGGGCGCUGGAGAAUUGAGGGGGGCUGCUCCUAGUACGAGAGGACCGGAGUGGACGCAUCACUGGUGUUCGGGUUGUCAUGCCAAUGGCACUGCCCGGUAGCUAAAUGCGGAAGAGAUAAGUGCUGAAAGCAUCUAAGCACGAAACUUGCCCCGAGAUGAGUUCUCCCUGAGACUUUAAGUCUCCUGAAGGAACGUUAAAGACGAUGACGUUGAUAGGCCGGGUGUGUAAGCGCAGCGAUGCGUUGAGCUAACCGGUACUAAUGAACCGUGAGGCUUAACCUU
rnacentral:rRNA from 1 species